GCUUAAGGAUAGCUCAGUUGGUUAGAGUGUGGUGCUGAUAACACCAAGGUUGCCGGUUCGAUCCCUGCAUGAGACUGCAGCA
rnacentral:tRNA from 1 species